GGGGAUUUAGCUCAGUGGCAUAAGCACCUGCCUUGCAAGCAGAUGGUCAUCAGUUCGAUCUCUGGUACCG
rnacentral:tRNA from 1 species